GGUAACUUGGCCGAGUUGGUCUAAGGCGCUAGACUCAAGAAACUCUCUUGUCCGCUACCAAAGCGGUUGUAUUCUAGUCUCGCAAGAGGCGCGCGUUCGAAUCGCGCAGUUAUCA